rnacentral:misc_RNA from 1 species
CCGCGUGUCUCGCAAAUCUCUCAGCCCCGGCGGUUGUCCGCGGAUGGGAAGACCGACCGUCAGGUAGUACGCGGGCGCCUUCGGACAGCCGGCGUGUACGCUCGGAGGCUUUGGGCUCCUCGCUGAGCGUCCACGAGGUGGCGGGGGCUCCGGCACGCCAACACCAGCGCACUGGGGAUAGGAAAUUCGUUCUCCUUCCCUGACGCCGUUCACCCGCAAGAUUCUUUU